AAUGUGGUGAAAGGUCGCAAAGUUCAAGGGGGCCGAAUACUUUCGCAAGGCACUGUAUCUCACUCUACAGUAAAUAUCUGGCUGCUGUAGUUAUGGUUUACGUCUGUGAGAUGGGUUAACAACACUCUGCUUCUGCAGGGAGCUGAGCUUCCAGGCCUCCAAGGUGUUCAGCUUUCUGUGUCCUGUAACUUUCUGUAUCCUGAAUUGCUCUAGAAUGUAGAGCUGAAAUGGUUGUGUUCCUCCAACUUGGCACUUAUCAUCUUGAUUGUGUCUAUACAUCCUGGGUAGCUGAUUUAAAUGUUCUGUUUGUCCCUCCCUUUCUGUUGGCCAGGUGGCAGUGCUCUCCCCUGUAUCAGAGCUGAGGGACUCCACCAAGCACCACGAGCCCUCCUGUCUGGGUGACUACAUCUUCCAAGUCUGUUCCCUACAUGCACGCCCUCGGAGACCCCUUCAGCAGCAGUGUCACCCUGUUUUUUUUUGUAGGAGCUAAGCAAUGGCACAAUGCUGAGGAGAACUAGCCCUGAAAUUGCUACCUCGGGGCUGGGUAAGGUUAACACGACAAUGUGCAAAACCAAUGUGUGUGGUGAGAUUGGGCAUUGGAUUCGAUGUCACACAUGAGUCAUCCAGCGUUGAUGGCCUGAAAAUUGGGUUUAAGUGCUGCCAACCUCCUGCUGUCACAUUGACGUAAACCUAAGGGGAUCCCACCAUUCCUCGCUCGUACCUACACACUCACUUUCACCGAAACUCAGAACCCCUCAUUUUUGUAUUCUCAUUUGUUAUUUAGCCCCCUCUCCCCAAAUGUCUAUUGGCAUCCCUACCCCACACAGUGUCAUCUCUCCUGGCUCGCCACAUGGCACACACACGCAUAUACACGCAUACACACACACACACAACAAGCAUACUCACACACCAAGCACGCACCAAGCAUACUCACACACACAUACACAAACAAGCACACAUACACACUGCAUAUACACACACACACACACACAGCAUACACACACAAACACACCAAGCAUACAAACACAAACACACCAAGCAAACACACAAAGCACACACACACACACAUGCGCAAAGCAUACACACACAAAGCAUACACACACAAAGCAUACACACACACACGCACAAAAAACAAAGCAUACACACACACAAAGGAUACACACACAUACAAAGCAUACACACACACCAAGCACACACACCAAGCAUACACACACACACACACACUCACACACACACAGAUCAUACUCACACACACACACACCAAGCAUACACACAUACACAAACAAGUACACACACAUACAAACACACCAAGAAUACUCAUACACACGCACCAAGCAUACUCACACACACAUACACAAACAAGCACACACACACGCAUACACCAAGCACACAUACACACUGCAUAUAUACACACACACACACAGCAUAAACACACAAACACACCAAGCAUACAAACACAAACACACCAAGCAAACACACACGCACACACACAAAGCACACACACACACACACAUGCGCAAAGCAUACACACACAAAGCAUACACACUAAGCACACACUAAGCACACACUAAGCACACACACUAAGCAUACACACACACACACACAAAAACAAAGAAUACAUACUCACACACAUACACCAAGCAUACACACACGCAUACACCAAGCACACAUACACACAGCAUACACACACACACACAGCAUACACACACACACACAGCAUACACACACAAACACACCAAGCAUACAUACACAGCAUACACACGCACACACACAAAGCAUACGCAAAGCAUGCACACACACACACACACACACAAAUAAAGCAUACACACACACACAAGCAUGCGCGCACACACACACACACAAAAGCAUGCACACCCACACACGCGCAUACACAAGCAUACAUACGCAUAUACACACAAGCAUACAGAAGCAUACAUAAGCAUACACACACAUACAAGCAUGCACACAAGCAUACACACACCAUGCACACUUGUCACGAACCACUCUGUCUGCCGUUCUUGUUUCCUUAUUAGGAUGCCAGUGGGUGGAGUUGGGAGGGUCGUCAGCUACAUGGGAAACACCUGGGCCAGGUGUCUCCCAGGAUAAAUAGACCUCUUCCACAUUCAUGGAAGAGACUCUCUCCAUGCAGACACCUUUUGUAGAUUGUGUUGUGGUUCUUGGUGGCCUUUUGUUUGUUUGCUUUGGCACCUCAUCACCCUGCAUUAUCACAUUCAUGCAUGCAAAACACUCACUUACACUACUGAUUACUGAUUACACACACCAUUGUAUAUUAUACUUAGUUGCUUUAGUUAAUAAAUAUAUAUUUUGCUACUCCUUA